rnacentral:rRNA from 1 species
UACAGAGGUCCCAAGCGUUGUUCGGAUUCACUGGGCGUAAAGGGUGCGUAGGUGGUAAAGCGAGUCUGAUGUGAAAUCUCCAAGCUCAACUUGGAAAUGGCAUUGGAAACUGCUUUACUUGAGAUUUGGAGGGGGGACUGGAAUUCUCGGUGUAGCAGUGAAAUGCGUAGAUAUCGAGAGGAACACCAGUGGCGAAGGCGAGUCCCUGGACAACAUCUGACACUGAGGCACGAAAGCUAGGGGAGCAAACAGG